GAGCAGUGUUGCCCUUGUUGAUGAUAAGGACAAUCCUAUUGCCAUUCUUAACGAUGUUGAGAUCUACAAGCAUAAUAAAGAAGAACGGACAGCCAGAACUUGGGGAACCACUGCCCCAGGUUUACCUUAUGCAGAGCAAGCAAUAACUCAUGCUGGAAACUGGCUAAUUGGUGGUGAUUUGGAAGUUAUAGAACCAAUCAAGUAUCAUGAUGGUCUUGACAGGUUCCGGCUUUCCCCUGCUGAACUUCGAGAUGAAUUUACAAGGCGCAAUGCAGAUGCAGUGUUUGCUUUUCAACUCAGAAAUCCAGUGCAUAAUGGCCAUGCAUUAUUGAUGACUGACACACGUCGUCGACUUCUUGAGAUGGGAUACAA
rnacentral:misc_RNA from 1 species